rnacentral:lncRNA from 1 species
CCUAACUAAGGAAAAUAAAGACUUUAUUUACUUUAAAGUAACGCUUCCAAAUAAUUUUCAUGUUAUUCAUGCCACAUGAAAUUAGAUUAAUUUAUCGCUUCAACUGUUCGGGUGCAAUCCAAAGCAGUCCAGACCAGAAGAAAAGAUAAAUUAAUCGCAUUAAAAAAGUGCAUGCAAAAAAUUAUACCCUAAUAUUAUGUUUACUUCGCUCCCAAAGAAGGUCUAGAUAUGAAGGUAUAGAUGGGUAGGAUGAUAAUUUUUUUUUGUAGCUCAUUUGGAAAAAUUUGUUUCGCAAAAACUGACAAUGUCUUCAUAUAAAAAAUUUGAAAUUGUUAUGACUUACGAAAAGUUAGAAUUAAUCUUUAUAAGGAGAUUGCAUAUUUAUACUCGUAACUCUGCUCCCAAAUGAGAGGUUUUGAUGUCCGUAUAUGCAUACAGGAAGAAAAAUAUUUAUGCUCAUAUUUUUUCUUCCAAUGAGGUAUCAUAUAAGGUGUAUUUUCUAAUUUUGGUGUAGUAAUUUUUGGAUACUGUAUUUUAUUAAUAAAAUAUAUCUUUUAUUUUAUAU